rnacentral:misc_RNA from 1 species
GAUUGAUAAAAGUACACAAUAACUAGAUCUAAUAAAAUCACUCUGCAAUAGGAAGGUGGAACCCUCUUUACACGACGUGAUAUACACUUUUUAGGAUUAUCAUCAGCUCAACUUCCUGAACUCUAAAAUAAGACCAAAAAUCGAACAACACUUCACACGUCGAAUUAGCUAGAAAAACAAAAAAUGAACUACAUUUUCCUAGUGUUAUGUAGCAACUUCAUCAACUUCAGAAUGGAAGACGAAACUAGGAAAAGUAGUUGUAAUAUCCCUUAGAUAGGGAAGUGUCAUUAUCUUUAGUAGUGAAGGAUUUUGGCUCACAAAAAUCUGCCAUUCGGAUUUGUCAAUCUUUCCAUCCUGAUUUGAGUCUGCUUCCACAAAAGUCUUAUCCAGUAUACUCUCUAUGGUCUCAUCAGCCAACUUCAUCUCAGACUCGCAUAAAAGUGCAAUCAACAUUUGUUUAACCUCUUGCCUCUCAAUGAACCCUGUGCCAUCUAGAUCAUAAAGCUUAAACGAAAAAUUGACUUUCUCUUCUUGUGGUGCAUUUGGGUGGAAGACAUGAAGUCCCUUCACGAAAUCACCAAAAUCAAUGACCCCUUUUUGCUUCACAUCAAAGAGAUCAAAAAUCCGAUUGGCAAAAAGGUUUUCUUUCUUUCUGUUCUUGAAUAAAGCCAACUGAAAUUCUUCCUUGCUUAUUAGCCCAUCAUCAAUUACCGAACUACUGAUACUCUUGAACAGCUCAAACAAUGCUUCAACUUCACUAACACUAAACGCUGUUUGGGAUGCAAGGGCAAUAGGAUCUUCGUGUCCACGGAACUGCUUUUUCACCUUAGAAUUAAAGCAGCCCAUUUACUGGAGAAUGGUGACUGAAGAAGAAGCACGACUAGACAAGCGCCUAGAAACCAGCUUCACAAACAAAAA